rnacentral:rRNA from 1 species
UACGUAGGGCGCGAGCGUUGUCCGGAUUUAUUGGGCGUAAAGAGCUCGUAGGCGGCUCAUUGCGUCAAUCGUGAAAUCCUGUGGCUCAACUACAGGCUUGCGGUUGAUACGGGUGGGCUGGAGUUCGGUAGGGGAGACUGGAAUUCCUGGUGUAGCGGUGAAAUGCGCAGAUAUCAGGAGGAACACCGGUGGCGAAGGCGGGUCUCUGGGCCGAUACUGACGCUGAGGAGCGAAAGCGUGGGGAGCGAACAGG